rnacentral:rRNA from 1 species
GAUGAACGCUGGCGGCGUGCCUAAUACAUGCAAGUCGAGCGAACGGACGAGAAGCUUGCUUCUCUGAUGUUAGAGGCGGACGGGAGCGUCACACAUGGUUAACAUAACUCAAAGAAUGGGAUGAUAUCGGGAAACCGGAGCUAAGAACGGAAAAUUUAUUGACCCGCAUUGUUCAAAAGUGAAAGUAGGUCUUGCUGUCACUAAAAGAUGGCCCAGCGCUGCAUUAGCUAGUUGGUAAGGUAACGGAUUACCAAGGCUACGAUGCAUAGCCGACCUGAGAGGGAGAUCGGCCACACUGGAUCUGAGACACGGUCCAGACUCCUACAGUGGGCAGCUGUAGAGAAUCUUCCGCGAUGGGCGAAUGCCUGACGGUGCAACACCGCGGGAGUGAUGAUGGUCUUCGGAUCGUAAAACGCUGUUAUUAGUGAAGAUCAUAUGUGUAAUUAACUGUGCACAUCUUGACGGUACCUAAACAGAAAGCCACGGCUAACUACGUG